rnacentral:rRNA from 1 species
GCUUACGGCCAUACCAACCUGGCUAUGCCCGAUCUCGUCUGAUCUCGGAAGCUAAGCAGGUUUGGGCCUGGUUAGUACUUGGAUGGGAGACCACCUGGGAAUACCAGGUGCUGUAAGCU